AUAUAAGUGGAUUAUUUUUGGAAAUACUAUACUUUUUUCUCAGUGAUUCUAACGAACAUUUGACAACCGUACUUAUGCGUGUGUGUGCAUUUAGAAAUUAAAAAAAAACGGCAAAAGAAUCAGCGAUUUCGUCGAGGGAAAAAAGUAAUUCCUGAUUACGGUUUUCGGUAGCGAUCGUUGAUUUGUAGCUGGUAUUUGGCCAGCAGUACAGCAGUGGUAAAAAAAACUCACGGUUACCCUCAAAACGGUUCCUGGAGACGGUCAAUUGUCAAAGUGCUCUGUGUGCUCAAGUUCCGCAAGAAGUUCCUGGAAUCGCACCGGUCAAUGCGCUUCCCAGCAAACCAAAAAGCCGUUUCCUGUACGUGUUCCUGUCUGCGGUCGUAGUGCUGAUGCUCGGCCAAAAGUUCCUGGCUUCGUUCGUAGCCGCUAUUCGGCUGCCCGCAAAACUGUCCCCGGCAUCGAAAUCGACAAGUGCCUCGAUGGGGGAACGCAAGUCUACUAUGUUUUCCUCAAUAACAGGGGCUUCAGUGCUUGUCGUGGCCAGCAGUUCCUGGCAAAUUCAUUUUCAUCGGAGAAAUCGACGAAGGCCCGAUAGGAAAACGCUACUCACCGGCCGAGCAUUUCACAUGCUAAGAGAUCUCUUAAAAAACUCAAAAGGAUUUGGAAUGUCCAAAGUGUCACAUAGCUAAAUCUACAACAGCGGAAGGCUAUGCUUGCUGCUGGGUAGGAAAAUCAGAUUAGCGGCCGGAAGAACCUGUCCUUUUACGAAAUGGUCAAUUCUCGGCGGAUGCAGCAGCUUAUCUACGUUUUAAAUGGACCACACUGACUCUUCAGGACAGCUUUUAAAACCAGUCAACAGCUUCCCGGCACGGUAUCAGUUAAGAGAAGCUUCAGAGGAGAAUAGUUUUUUAGGCAGACCGGGUGAGCAAAAUUUCUAAUUUCAAGAUCGUGACGGCUCCAAAAGAUCACACAGGCUGAAACGAAACCGAUGGCCAUCUUUGAGCUGCUGGACGAAAAUAAAUAAUAACUCAAAAUAGCGAAUGUAUUGGAAUUGGUUGUGAGAACGUGAUUUUUAUUAAUAAACUUUAAGA